UUGACUAAGGUUCGAUUCGAGCGCAGCGAGAAAGCGUUGCCGCAGGCAACGACCCGAAGGGUGAGGAGCGGAGCGACGAAUAAUCCUUCCCCCACCACCA
rnacentral:sRNA from 1 species